AUUAGACUCGGUUUGCCAACACAUUGAACAGCCAUUAUCCAGCCCUUUAAAAGCCAGAACAGCAUCAUUUUAACAUGGCUGAGAUGAAGCGCAGAAGGAGAAAAGAACAUCAAAGCAGGAGGCGGAGUAUUACACAUCUGCUGGGAAAGACAAACCUGGAAAUAUAUAAAUUCAGAUAAAGAGUGUGGAGUAUUCAGUUCAGUCCCUUUUGAUGAGGGAGACCUCUUUAACCUCGCAACA